AGGAAAGACUUUUACUGUAUCAGGAAUUUAUCAUCCAAGUCGGUCACACCUCGUAUCAACACAGCACAGGACUACGUCACAUAGGAAACCGGCUCAUUCCGAAUCCGAUUCCAGUUAAUCACCAUGCAGCCUCUGCCGGCACUUCCCGGUGAUCAGUCAGGAAGCAAGCCCAGCAGACUGCUGUAUCACUGGCCGCAGCUCGGGUGGGUCCAAGAACUGACACAGAUAUUUGGAAAACUCAAGAGCACCGUUAACUUUUUCAAGUACAGAUUACAGAUGGAACAGCCCUGCGGAACAUGUGUGCGCUAUAUGUAAUAUCAUAAAGUGGAUGACAAUAUUAUAUGACGUUUACAUGACUCUACGGAUAAUCUCCCUCCACUAAAAUGACAGGCGCAGGCUCAACCCUGGAACAUUUUGGAAGGUCAUUUGUAAUUUGCUGAAGGUCAACAAAGCUCAGUUAAAGAUCUGCUCCCCCCAGCAAAGGGCCCAGAAAACAAUUGGAAGCCAGAAUUGUGCCGGAGUGAGAGACAGACACUGACAUUUGUAGUACAAGUUACAGGGAGCGAUACGUCUGCCAGGAACAAGUUAGUUCAAGUAAAGAUACAUGAGGAAACGUUUGCCUAGAAGAAAUAUUCUUGUCACGUAAAAAUCCCACUAUUAAUCAAAAAUCACAUUAGAGCCGGUGGAACGAAGCCUCCCUUACUGCUCUAUAAUAAUACCUCUAGAUAAGAUCAGGUUGGUAAUAGGACAUUCACUUGUCAGAGAAAGUUGCUCUAAAGUGGAGUCGAAAUUUGAGUUCCAGGGAGUCUAUUGACUCUGCUAAUAGCCUCGAUUAUGUAGCUUUGCUGAUUUAUUCUGUGUAUUUCUGUAGCACAGAGACAGCUUUAAUUGAAA